CCGAGAGACUCACCACCCACGCAUAUUUCAAAACAAGCAAAGGACGGCAGCAGCAUCUCCUCGUGUAACCGGGCCUGGCCUCAGUCCUCUCCACUGUCCUGUCUCAGCCUCCCAAGUGCUGGGAUCACAGACAGCUGCCACUGCUCUCAGCCCUAACCUGACUAUGGUAAUGGUUCCUCCUGCCCAGGGCCUGGGUGCCUGCCUCCCAGCUCCAGCCAGCUUCCACACUAUUCCAAAUUAUUUGCCUAAGGACAUCUGAGGGGAACCUGAACCCCUCAGCAGGACAGUUAAGGCUGUUAUCUCUUCCUAUUUCUGGCUCAGUUCUGUGGCAAAGCCCAAGAGUUCCCCCCUACCAUGCAGCUCCCUGGGUCCCCACACCCUUUUAGUUCACAGUAUCCUUUCAUCCAAGAGCCCAGAUAGAGGCAGAAUGCUCCAAGCUCCCUUGCUGGAGUGCAGCGCUGGUACCACCUCCUCCAGGAAGCCUCCUAGUUUGUGAAGUGACUACCUCUUGAAUGCCUAGCACCCAGUACUGUGAAGCACUUAGAGGCUUGAUCCCCUGAGGCAAGGGUGCAUACAGCUGUCACUACCCAUCCCACCCCUUCUCCCCAGUGACCUCCUCCAUCCUCACCCCAGGGAUUGUCUUCAGGCCUCCUUCAUGGGAGAAAUCUGAGACCCAGAGGGGGAAAUGAGUCAUGGCCUCCAGAGGCCUAAGCAAAGGGCUGUGUGUGUGUGGGGGGGGGUGCAGAUUGAUUCAGGCUGCCCCUCCCCCCAUCACUCUGACUGACUCAGGCACCCCCUUCUACACCCCCACCCCCAUUCUACAGGCCUUGGCUGGUCCUUCUCCCAAGCGUCAAUCAGCACCGGAACUGUGGAAAGCCAACCCUGCAGGGCAAUGGUGGCCUCUCAAUAUUGAAUCCAGGGUCAGUCACAGAUCCCAGCAGGGAAGAGACCCAACAGCUCUUAGAAUGAGGGUUUAAAAACUGGUUUGGUUCCUGUGGGAUGGAAGAAAUUAUCACAGUGGUGUCCCAGACUUGGUUUUGGUAAUGCCUGUCUCCCCAUCCAGGACCCUGGGGGCCUGGGAAGUGGGAGGCAGUACAGGCAGGAGGGGCUUAUUGGUUAAUGGCUCCUCCAACUGUAGAAAAGGAUACAAGGGGGUGACCCUGGGGGCACCCAGCAAGGUGGCAUCCAGAGGCCCAGAAACCCUGACAUAAGGCCAAACAUCUCAAACCACACCCAACCCUGUAGGGCAGGAGGUAGCUUCUCAUUAUUGAGUCCAGAGUGGGUAACUGAUCCCAGCUGAGAAGAGACCCAACAGCUCAUCAAAUGAGAGAAAUAGAAACUGUUUAUGUACCAACAAUAAGGAACCUUUCCCUUCCCAGCCAGUGCUGGGCUACCCCUCUGAUGAGUCAUGUCCCCUUAGCCUCACUGAGGAAGGGGCUAAAGCCGGGCCACCUCAGCACUGUGCUGAGAAAAUGCUGUGGAAAUUCACCGAGCCUCGCCAUCCCGGAAGGCAUUCUGGAAACCGUGAAGGGCUGUCUGUGGGGAAAUGAUUUAAAUAAACAGCAGAUUCAUGCCUUCAAGAAAGUUAGUUGGUCCUGAGAACAGGGACAGCACCCAACUCUAGGGAGAUCCCAAGCUUGUUAUACUGCCCAGACACAGGGCUGCCUCUGUCCUGUGUGCCCUCUCCCAACUGAGGACAUAGGUUCCCUCAGGGCCUUUCUUUUCUUGGUUCCUCAAUCUCCUGGCCCCUGCCCCACUUCCUGAAUCCUGGAGGCAAGAGAAGACAGAGAGAAAAGCGACCCUUAUGGUUGUCCACCUUCAGGCUGGGUCCACAGAGAGCCAGUGCCCCGCCAGCCUAUCUGAGCCUUCCUUGUAAUGCCUUUUGCUGAGAGGUUUGUUUUGGGGGAACAGCAGCACUAAUGCUUGGGCCUGGAGAGGCCUGGGACCGGGAAGACAUCCCUCCUGAGCUGUCAGCCACCUGCUCCUGAAAGAAGUUUUUUUCAAGAUCCACUUCCUCACACAUACGUAGAGAAGCUCACCCCAUGUGUUAGUCAGGGUCCUCUAGGGUCACAGAACUUACCGAAUGUCUCUAUAUAUUAAGGGAAUUUAUUGUGGUGACUUACAGUCUGUAGUCCAACUAAGCCAACCAUGUGCAGCUGUGGAUGAGAAAUGUUAGCAUUUCUUCUAGGCUCCGCCCCACAGUUACCUGGCAACAGCCAGGUGUGCUUAAGCUCAUCUUUAAAAAUUAUCAUGCCGUUAACAAAUGUAUCUCUUUUGUAAACUUAUAAGCUACAGGAAACCCACU
rnacentral:lncRNA from 1 species